GGAAGGAUGGAUGGGGCGUCCUCAUUCAGAUCAGGCAACUGUGCUGUUUCAAAACCCUGGCCCAAGUCUGAUCUGGGGACAGGGCGCCAGGAGGCUCUGGGGGCAACAGGGCAGCCCUUCUUCCAGAGCAGGGGCUGCUUGUGAAAGAUCACAUCUGAUUCCUAAAGUUCUGGUAUAAAUCCAGCAGAGAAAGAGGUCACCCCCACCCCACCCCAGCACAGACAUCAGCAGCACAUGAAAGGAGACACACAGAGGAAGGACUCACACCCAAAGAAAUGCAACUCUUCACCAGAAACCAAAGACAGGAAAAUUACACCAGGAGGCCAUUUGGAGCCUGUGGAGUCAGCCAAGGGAUGCUUCCAACUGGACAUGCUGCCCGGCUGUGGCCAUGCCACCAUGUCCUCACCAGCGGAAUGGGGACGGAAGUGAUCCACGCAACUUCAGCUGUUUAAGGGCUCAUUUGCCUGGGGUUUCUCUUUUUCCUUCCUUCAAACAGGGCCUGGAAGAGUGGCCCAAGGAGUGGUGGAACAUCCUAUCCUGCCAGCCACGGUCUCUUUGUCACAGCAUUUGGCCUGAAGGCACCCUCCCCCACCAGGCAAAAGACUGCAGAAGAUAAGAAGAAUGCACUAAGAAUCUGGUCCACUCCUGUCUGACGGCAAACUGGCCACUGUCUCUCUGCAGGGCAGUGAGGCGAUUUGCAGAAAGUCUGAAACUUUGCUCUACUUUUAACCCAGUGAUUCCACUCUAGGCUAUGUCCUAAGGGACUCAUUCUCAAAAACAAAUUAAAAAAAUUUAUACUCACAGCAUUUUGUCACAGUGUUUUUUUUUUUUUUUUUUUUUUUCCUUAAGGCUACACCUGCAGCAUAUGGAAGUUCCCAGGCAAGGGGUCGAAUCAGAGCUACAGCUAUCAGCUUAAGCCACAGCCACAGCUACACCAGAUCCUGGC
rnacentral:lncRNA from 1 species